rnacentral:rRNA from 1 species
UACGUAGGGUGCGAGCGUUAAUCGGAAUUACUGGGCGUAAAGCGUGCGCAGGCGGCUUUGCAAGACAGAUGUGAAAUCCCCGGGCUUAACCUGGGAACUGCAUUUGUGACUGCAAGGCUGGAGUACGGCAGAGGGGAUGGAAUUCCGCGUGUAGCAGUGAAAUGCGUAGAUAUGCGGAGGAACACCGAUGGCGAAGGCAAUCCCCUGGGCCUGUACUGACGCUCAUGCACGAAAGCGUGGGAGC